GAUGAACGCUAGCUACAGGCUUAACACAUGCAAGUCGAGGGACCGGCGCACGGGUGAGUAACACGUAUCCAACCUGCCCUUUACUCGGAUAGCCUCUCGCUAGAAAGAUUAUUAAACGAUAUGAAGGAUGGGGAUGCGCUCCAUUAGGUUGUUGGUGAGGUAACGGCUCACCAAGCCCUCGAUGGAUAGAGGUUCUGAGAGGAAGGUCCCCCACAUUGGAACUGAGACACGUUCCAAACGCCUACGGGAGGCAGCAUAGAGGAAUAUUGGUCAAUGGGCGUUAGCCUGAACCAGCCAAGUAGCGUGAAGGAUGAAGGCUUAUAGGUCGUAAACUUCUUUUAUAUAAGAAUAUGUAUUAUAUGAAUAAGGAUCGGCUAACUCCGUGCCAGCAGCCGCGGUAAUAC
rnacentral:rRNA from 1 species